rnacentral:rRNA from 1 species
CAGUCGCCACGGUAAUACAGAGGGUGCGAGCGUUAAUCGGAUUUACUGGGCGUAAAGCGUGCGUAGGCGGCUUUUUAAGUCGGAUGUGAAAUCCCUGAGCUUAACUUAGGAAUUGCAUUCGAUACUGGGAAGCUAGAGUAUGGGAGAGGAUGGUAGAAUUCCAGGUGUAGCGGUGAAAUGCGUAGAGAUCUGGAGGAAUACCGAUGGCGAAGGCAGCCAUCUGGCCUAAUACUGACGCUGAGGUACGAAAGCAUGGGGAGCAAACAGGAUUAGAGACCCCCGUAGUCCCUGUCUCUUAUAA